rnacentral:antisense_RNA from 1 species
AGAGUAGCUGUGACUACAGGCGCCCGCCACCAUGCCUGGCUAAUUUUUUGUAUUUUUUAGUGGAGAUGGGGUUUCACUGUGUUAGCCAGGAUGGUCUCUAUCUCCUGACCUCAUGAUCCGCCGGCCUCGGCCUCCCAGAGUGCUGGGAUUACAGGCGUGAGCCACAAAGCCCGGCCAACACCCCGAUUUUCUAUACCACACUCCCCCAUUUUCUACGUGCUGAUCAAAACCAAUCUGAAUGGAGUCUAGGUCUGGCUGUGGGCUGUUGGGAACAGGCCCCCAAAUCUGGCCAUCAACUGGCCCCAAAACUGGCCGUAAACAAAAUUCUGCAGCACUGUGGCAUGCUCGUGAUGGCCAUGACUCCCAGGCUGGAAUGAGGGCAAGAAACACCUGGCCCACCCAGGGCGGAAAACCGCUUAAAGGAGUUCCUGAACCACAAAUAAUAGCAUGAGCAAUCUGUCACUCUGCUGCAGAUAACCAGCCAGACCCAUCCCUUUAUUUUGGCCUAACCCUUUAUUUCCCGUAAGAAAUGCUUUUAGUUAAUCUACAAUCUAUAGAAACAAUGCUUAUCACUGGUUUGCUGUCAGUAAAUAUGUGGGUAAAUCUCUGUUUGAGGCUUUCAGCUUCGAGGGCUGUGAGACCCCUGAUUUCCCACUCCACACCCUA